GUAUUAGUAAAAUAUAAUGGUUAGUACAAGAAUUACUUCUUAAAGGACUAAAUGUUAGUAAUUAAGUAUUGGAUGAUUAUGACGCCUAGUACAGGAAAUACAUCCUAUUGUAUUAGUGAUUAGUAAUUAGGUUUUGGAAAUUUCCAACAAUACGUUCACUGACCGAGGUCUCGGAGGCUAAGUUGGUAGAGAAGGGGGAAGGAGUGGUUACGGCUGGCUGAGUCCCGACCCGGCUCGACAGGUCUUGACUGGCUGCUGGCCACUCUCGAGUAGCGGUCUAUAUCUCGCUGUCCUUCACAAUGUCUCAAAUGAACAGUUCUAUGGGUAUUUAUGGGGGAACUGGGAGCUAAGCUUCGCUUACCAAAUAGUUAGCUUCUGGCUAUCUACCUACUUCACCUAGACCGCGGCUUGUCUGAUGGACAGACACGGCCAACCGGUUGCAAUUAUCAACUUAGCAGAAAGCAAGGUCACUUCACACAACCUGUUCACUCUCAACUUUUGAACAAUUGGCACCUGAAAGGCGUGACUUUGAAUGCUUAUAGUGUGACUGUUGGCGCCUUCAAUAUCAUGUGUGACUGACUCUCGUUGUAUGUAAAACAUAUUAAAUAAAACACAUUUAUGGUGUUACAGGGACAGGUAGGCGAGUACAUAUACUCUGAGGUGGUGAACAGUGGCAAGUAUCAGUGGUGGGGGCAGGGUGCAGCCGGAGAGCAAGGUGCACAUUAUUGCCUGUGACUUCAGCAGGAGCGCACACACUGCCAGAGCCGUUGUUGUUGUUGUUGUUGCUUUAGAUUCAGCUACUGGGAACCAAAAGCUCCAAGUAGCAUGGGUUAUGGUGAGCCCGUAGCCGCCAGAGCGCUCUACACUAUACAACCUGAGCCACACUGCUGCUGUCCUACACACCAUGAAGGUACAGUUCCCGUGUGUCUGCUGCCUCCUGCUGCUGCUGCUGCUGCCGGCGGUCCUCGCUGCUCCAAGACCUUACUCUAUCACCGUCUUAUGUAAUCGUCGGCGUAUUUAUGACAAGUUAUUGAGGAGGUGUGUCAGAAUUCCUCCUCCGAUUAAUAGGAGGAGGAAUCGGAGGCACAACACACCGCUUCAGCACCAAGUCUCCGCGGGCAAUAUACCGCUUCAGCACCAGGUGUCCGCUGGUAAUAUACCUCUUCAGCAGCAGGUGUCCACGGGUAAUAUACAGCUUCAGCAGCAGGUGUCCACGGGUAAUACACAGCUUCAGCACCAGGUGUCCGCGGGUAACACACCGCUUCAGCACCAGGUGUCCGCUGGUAACACACCGCUUCAGCGCCAGGUGUCCGCGAGUAAUACACCGCUUCAGCACCAGGUGUCCGCGGGUAAUACACCGCUUCAGCACCAGGUGUCCGCGGGGUAAUACACCUCUUCAGCACCAGGUGUCCGCGGGUAAUACACCGCUUCAGAACCAGGUGUCCGCGGGUAAUACACCGCUUCAGCACCAGGUGUCCGCUGGUAAUACACCGCUUCAGCACCAGAUGUCCGCGGGUAAUACACCGCUUCAGCACCAGGUGUCCGCUGGUAAUACACCGCUUCAGCACCAGGUGUCCGCUGGUAAUACACCGCUUCAGCACCAGGUGUCCGCGGGUAAUACACCGCUUCAGCACCAGGUGUCCGCGGGUAAUACACCGCUUCAGCACCAGGUGUCCGCGGGUAAUACACCGCUUCAGCACCAGGUGUCCGCGGGUAACACACCUCUUCAGCACCAGGUGUCCGCGGGUAAUACACCGCUUCAGCACCAGGUGUCUUCGGGUAACAGUUCAGCUGUUGAUACAGAUAUGAUAUAAGCGUGUUUGAAAUAUAUUGUAUGGUACACAGGGACACGAUCUAGUUUAGAGUCAGUGAACCUUAGACCUGAGUCUAGAACAGGUUCUUCCCAAGGAACUAGCGCUGGUGUGAUUAGGCAAGACUGCCACAGCCUCCCUUUGUUUUUAAUUCCUGUAUGUAAAGAAAUCCAGGUUACUAUUCUAUGUUGUAUUUAAUAAUUACCCGUAUUUACGUACCUAUGUAAUUUAUCAUCGUUUAAGUGUAAAGAUUCAGUCCCCUUAAGUGGGCCAAGUGAAUAGGAGUUAGCUUUGAUAAUGGUUCUAGUCUCGUUAAUGGUUGAUGGCAAUCAGUGAGGCUAGUGAGUAGGCUUGGGUAGCUUGCUUGAACCUAAGGCGAGAUCAGUGUGAUCUUGGUGAGGCUGGAGUAACAUCAUCUCCAGAGGAAGAACAGCCAGAACAUCGGCUGGCAGUUUGUAGACAUGUUAAGGGACAGGUAGGCGAGUACAUAUACUCUGAGGUGGUGAACAGUGGCAAGUAUCAGUGGUGUGGACAGGGUGCAGCCGGAGAGCAAGGUGCACAUUAUUGCCUGUGACUUCAGCAGGAGCGCACACACUGCCAGAGCUGUUGUUGUUGUUGUUGUUGUUGCUUUAGAUUCAGCUACUGGGAACCAAAAGCUCCAAGUAGCAUGGGCUAUGGUGAGCCCGUAGCCGCCAGAGCGCUCUACACUUUACAACCUGAGCCACACUGCUGCUGUCCUACACACCAUGAAGGUACAGUUCCCUUGUGUCUGUUGGCUCCUGCUGCUGCUGCUGCUGCUGCUGCUGCUGCCGGCGGUCCUCGCUGCUCCAAGACCUCAAUCUAUCACCGUCUUUUGUAAACCUUGGCUUAUUUAUGACAAGUUAUUGAGGAGGUGUGUCGGAAUUCCUCCUCCGAUUAUGAGGAGUCACAACACACCGCUUCAGCACCAAGUCUCCACGGGCAAUAUACCGCUUCAGCACCAGGUGUCCGCGGGUAAUACACAGCUUCAGCACCAGGUGUCCGCGGGUAAUACACCGCUUCAGCACCAGGUGUCCGCGGGUAACAGUUCAGCUGUUGAUACAGAUAUGAUAUAAGCGUGUUUGAAAUAUAUUGUAUGGUACACAGGGACACGAUCUAGUUUAGAGUCAGAGUGAACCUUAGACCUGAGUCUAGAACAGGUUCUUCCCAAGGAACUAGCGCUGGUGUGAUUAGGCAAGACUGCCACAGCCUCCCUUUGUUUUUAAUUCCUUUAUGUAAAGAAAUCCAGGUUACUAUUCUAUGUUGUAUUUAAUAAUUACCCGUAUUUACGUACCUAUGUAAUUUAUCAUCGUUUAAGUGUAAAGAUUCAGUCCCCUUAAGUGGGCCAAGUGAAUAGGAGUUAGCUUUGAUAAUGGUUCUAGUCUUGUUAAUGGUUGAUGGCAAUCAGUGAGGCUAGUGAGUAGGCUUGGGUAGCUUGCUUGAACCUAAGGCGAGAUCAGUGUGAUCUUGGUGAGGCUAGAGUAACAUCAUCUCCAGAGGAAGAACAGCCAGAACAUCGGCUGGCAGUUUGUAAACAUGUUAAGGUUCGUAUCCUGGCCGGGGAGGAUUUACUGGGCGCAAAUCCUUAACUGUAGCCUGUGUUUAACGCAACAGUAAAAUGUGUACUUGGUUGUAACAACGAUUCUUCGCGGCGGGGAUCGUAUUCCAGGGACCUGCCCGAAACGCUACGUGUACUAGUGGCUGUACAAGAAUGUAACAACUCUUGUAUAUAUCUCAAAAAAAAAAAGGUAAAUUCUGUUUGAGUUCAAGUGCGAGUUAGCUUCAUAUCAGUGCCUCAAGGUUUAGGAACAUUAGAUAGGAUCACAUUUUUUCAUUUAUUUAUACAAGAGUUGUUACAUUCUUGUACAGCCACUAGUACACGUAGCGUUUCGGGCAAGUCCUUAAUCCUAUGGUCACUGGAAUACGACCCCCACGAAGAAUUGUUUUUACAACCCGGUUCCCAUUUUACUGUUGAGUUAAACAGAGGCUGCAGUUAAGGAUUUGCACCCCAGUCAAUCCUCCCCGGCCAGGAUACGAUAGGAUAUUUCAUAAUUUGUGUCAAUAAAUGAAUUUAAUUA